AUUGAACGCUGGCGGCAGGCCUAACACAUGCAAGUCGAGCGGAUGAGAGGAGCUUGCUUCUCGAUUCAGCGGCGGACGGGUGAGUAAUGCCUAGGAAUCUGCCUGGUAGUGGGGGACAACGUUUCGAAAGGAACGCUAAUACCGCAUACGUCCUACGGGAGAAAGCAGGGGACCUUCGGGCCUUGCGCUAUCGGAUGAGCCUAGGUCGGAUUAGCUAGUUGGUGAGGUAAUGGCUCACCGAGGCGACGAUCCGCAACUGGUCUGAGAGGAUGAUCAGUCACACUGGAACUGAGACACGGUCCAGACUCCUACGGGAGGCAGCAGUGGGGAAUAUUGGACAAUGGGCGAAAGCCUGAUCCAGCCAUGCCGCGUGUGUGAAGAAGGUCUUCGGAUUGUAAAGCACUUUAAGUUGGGAGGAAGGGUUGUAGAUUAAUACUCUGCAAUUUUGACGUUACCGACAGAAUAAGCACCGGCUAACUCUGUGCCAGCCGCCGCGGUAAAAC
rnacentral:rRNA from 1 species